AGCGUAGACGGCGCAGCAAGUCUGAUGUGAAAGGCAGGGGCUUAACCCCUGGACUGCAUUGGAAACUGCUGUGCUUGAGUGCCGGAGGGGUAAGCGGAAUUCCUAGUGUAGCGGUGAAAUGCGUAGAUAUUAGGAGGAACACCAGUGGCGAAGGCGGCUUACUGGACGGUAACUGACGUUGAGGCUCGAAAGCGUGGGAGCAAACA
rnacentral:rRNA from 1 species